UACAGAGGGUGCGAGCGUUAAUCGGAUUUACUGGGCGUAAAGCGUGCGUAGGCGGCCAUUUAAGUCAAAUGUGAAAUCCCCGAGCUUAACUUGGGAAUUGCAUUCGGUACUGGAUGGCUAGAGUAUGGGAGAGGAUGGUAGAAUUCCAGGUGUAGCGGUGAAAUGCGUAGAGAUCUGGAGGAAUACCGAUGGCGAAGGCAGCCAUCUGGCCUAAUACUGACGCUGAGGUACGAAAGCAUGGGGAGCAAACAGGAUUAGAUACCCUGGUAGUCCAUGCCGUAAACGAUGUCUACUAGCCGUUGGGGCCUUUGAGGCUUUAGUGGCGCAGCUAACGCGAUAAGUAGACCGCCUGGGGAGUACGGUCGCAAGACUAAA
rnacentral:rRNA from 1 species